UAAUACGUAGGGGGCGAGCGUUGUCCGGAUUCAUUGGGCGUAAAGAGCUCGUAGGCGGCUGCUCAAGUCGGAUGUGAAAACUCGGGGCUCAACUCCGAGCCUGCAUUCGAUACUGGGCGGCUGGAGUCUGGUAGGGGGAUCUGGAAUUCCUGGUGUAGCGGUGGAAUGCGCAGAUAUCAGGAGGAACACCGGUGGCGAAGGCGGGAUCCUGGGCCAGUACUGACGCUGAGGAGCGAAAGCGUGGGGAGCAAACAGGAUUAGAUACCCUGGUAGUCCACGCCGUAAACGAUGGGUGCUAGGUGUGGGAGGUCAUCGACUCCUUCCGUGCCGCAGCUAACGCAUUAAGCACCCCGCCUGGGGAGUACGGCCGCAAGGCUA
rnacentral:rRNA from 1 species